rnacentral:rRNA from 1 species
UAGGGAAUCUUCCACAAUGGGCGCAAGCCUGAUGGAGCAACACCGCGUGAGUGAAGAAGGGUUUCGGCUCGUAAAGCUCUGUUGUUAAAGAAGAACAUAUCUGAGAGUAACUGUUCAGGUAUUGACGGUAUUUAACCAGAAAGCCACGGCUAACUACGUGCCUG